UACGUAGGUGGCAAGCGUUGUCCGGAUUUACUGGGCGUAAAGGGAGCGUAGGCGGAUACUUAAGUGGGAUGUGAAAUACCUGGGCUUGACUUGGGUGCUGCAUUCCAAACUGGGUGUCUAGAGUGUUGGAGAGGAAAGUGGAAUUCCUAGUGUAGCGGUGAAAUGCGUAGAGAUUAGGAAGAACACCAGUGGCGAAGGCGACUUUCUGGACAAUACUGACGCUGAGGUUCGAAAGCGUGGGGAGCAAACAGGAUUAGAUACCCUGGUAGUCCACGCCGUAAACGAUGGGUACUAGGUGUAGGAGGUAUCGACUCCUCCUGUGCCGCCGUUAACACAAUAAGUACCCCGCCUGGGGAGUACGGUCGCAAGAUUAAA
rnacentral:rRNA from 1 species